rnacentral:rRNA from 1 species
UACGUAGGCGGAAAAUUAAGUCAGUAGUGAAAUCCUGCAGCUUAACUGUAGAACUGUUAUUGAUACUGGUUUUCUUGAAUAUAGUUGAGGUAGGCGGAAUGUGUAAUGUAGCGGUGAAAUGCUUAGAUAUUACACAGAACACCGAUUGCGAAGGCAGCUUACUAAGCUAUGAUUGACGCUGAGGUACGAAAGCGUGGGGAGCGAACAGGAUUAGAUACCCGGUAGUCC